rnacentral:misc_RNA from 1 species
UAACUUCAGGUACUUUUUUUUUUUGGGAAGAUUCAAAUCUCCCCAGCCCCUAAAAGUUCUCUUUUUUGGUUUGGUAUAGACAAUGAUUGGAAUAUAACAGUCAUAAAGUUGUGUAAUUUUAGUUUCUCUUGCAUAGUUGUCCAAGAAAGUUGUUUUCAGCUGAAAUUUGAACUAUUAUCCGUAGAAUUGGGUGGUGUUUAAUUUUGAAUGGUUUAUAAAUUGUUACUACAGUCUAUUUAAUUAUUGAAGGCUUAUGGAUUAUUAACAGUUCUUAUUUCUUGAACUUGGUAUUUUUAUAAAUUGAUGUGGUUGCUCUAAAAGAUCUAGUAGCUGCUUGCUUGAGCACAAGCUUCACCUGGAAGCUGAUAAUAAAUGGGACAAAUAUCUCAUUACAUAUUGGUGCUUCAGGCCUCCCAUGAGCAGCAUUCACAUCUAGGAUUAUUAAAACCCUUUGCAAAUCAAUUUCUUUUGAUCAUUUAAUGGUGUUUAAUCAACAAAGUUUGUGGCCUUUCAGGCUCUAUCCAGUGGCAUUUUUAAGAGUUGCUUGCACAGAAUUAGUAAGGAAAUGCCUUGCUAUAUUUCUGUCCAAAGAAGCGAGGUAACUGAAUGCUUUGUUAAGAGUCUUAAAAUCACAGGAUGUAUCCUGACUUUUCAUAUUCAGCUUUGCUAGAAUUCAUUCAAUAGAAAAGGAACUGAGAAUAUACAAGUAGUAUUUGAAUUUUCAGAGCAAAAAGGGUAUGGUUUGUAUGAAAUGCCUGUUAAGUUCUGCGACAUCUAAUCCUUUUGGAAUUACUUGGUCAAUACAGCAUGCAUCAUCAUCUUUUUAUCAGUCAUCUUUCUAUUGUAAAGUUACCUUUAGCUAUAGACUAUGAAUUGGUUCUACAGCAUUUGUCUCUGUUUUUCUUAUUAUUUAUUUAUUUUAGAACUACGUCAACUAUAAGCAAGUUUUGGUGUAUAUGAGAUGAUUUGUUCAUACCUCGCUUAUUAUUAUUAUUUUUUUAACAACAAGUUGUUCGUUCAUUCCAAAGAGACAAGAGGGGGAAUUUUGGUACAAAGCCUGAAUUAGGAAUAUAAGCUGCUAAAACUACACUCACAAAGAAAGAGAAGAAGAAGAAAUAGAAGUUGAAGAACCUGCCAAGGAAUAAGACUCCCAAGGAAGAACAUUCAUGAAAAUGAAAAGAUAACUGAAGUCUAAAUGUGCAUCUAACUAGACGGUGCCGGAAGACAGCAGUAACCAAGGAACUAAUUAAGCUGCGGAAAAGAGUUCCAAAUGAGAAAAAUAGAAAGCUGCGGAUCAAUAUGAUACAAAAGCUCUCCAAUCUUUUCAUAGAAUGAGUCAUUUGUUCCCUCUCUAAUUCCUUGCAAGUCAUCCAUUUUUUUUUUUCAAUCCUGUCCGUGAUAUCAGAGGAAAUCAUUUGCACUGAGCUUUGAACUUUUUCCCUCUUAUUUCAUUGUCUGAUGAAUGAAUACCACGCAAGUGUUUUAUAUUUGGUAGUAAAUAACUGACAUAUAUCUAGAGUGUUUUAUGCUCAUCCACCCAUAUUUAAGACCCCACUAGCAAAAAGCAGUGCCACAUUGCGGGCUUACAAGCAAUAUAUAUAUAUAUAAUUUGGGUUAAUCAUUCUGGCGGAUGGUUUUGGACAUGAAAGUGAUUUAUGAAUUCUUAUCGGUUGAUGUGUUGUGAGGAAAGGACUACCCAUGGCUAGAUAAGAUUUGAAGGAGAUUGAAUUUUGAUAAAGAUUGAAUUCAAAGAAACUAAACUUUUAGAAUAUUGAAGUUAUCCUUUAAUUUUGUGAGAUAUGGAGUGGAAAGCUGGCAGUUCUAAUGAAUAUUCAGAAAUAAAGUUAGCCAAGACUUGUUGGUCUCCCAGCAGAUGUGGAGUCUUUCCUCCUUCUUGAGUAAGGUGUCUUGCUGGUGCUAUGGUUUACGCUGGUUUCUCUUGAAAAUCCGGCUGUUUUACUUGCUUCGAUCCCUCAUAUUGUUGGGUUGUUUUAGGUGAUCCUCAUCUGGUUGAUGGUUUUGUUGUGUCUUCGGGGAAGGAGUUAGAACAAUUGUGGGCAAAGUUUCAGCUCAGUGAAGAUUAAGCUGAGGUGAUCUCUCUUGAAGGAGGCACUGGGAAGCGGGGUGAUUUAGAGCGCUGUCUGGUGGGCUGUGCGUUGUCGCGUAAGCCAGUCAGUAUUGCUGGUUUGUCCCAGGCAACAUUUGGUUCAUGGAGGCUAGAUCGCAAGUUUAAUAUUCAUGCACUCUGAGGUUAGUUUUAUUUGUGAAUUUGAGCAUACUGUUGAUAGGAAUAAGGCUCUGAAGGAGGGUACGUGGCAUUUCAAGAAGCAGACUAUCUUGUUAAAACCUGUUAUCGGCAAUAAACAGCUGUUGGAUUUGAAGGAAGAAAAAAACUAAGAACAGUUUAUGCUAGAAUAAGUAGCAGAGAAAAAAACAUAAAUUCAUUAGUAAAACAGGGGAUUUACGCGUACAAAUUCAAAGAUUUUUUUCUUCCUUUUCGUCUUCAUUUUCUCAACUCUCUCAAACUCUCUUCAAGGUCUCUCAAAUUCUCUCUGCUCUCUUUUUCUUUCCAGCAGCAAUUCUAUCUAUAUCCAGCAGCAAUUCUUCCUUUUUAUAGAAAAAAAUUGCUUUCUUUUGUUAAGUAAUGCCAUACUUGCACCAUGCUUGGUAUGACUAUUUCCUUUACUUGUAGACAUAUAUAUUUGCCUAUUUAAUCUCAUCAACUCUAUCAACAGCCCUCAGAUAUCAGGUUGGAUGUUCGUUGUGUUUUUUGGUGCAUAUUUGUAACAUCCCCUUCAACUUUCGGGACAAUGCUUCAGUGCGGAAAAUCGCAAGUUCCGUAGGGACUGUGAAGGGUAUUAAUGAGGGUGAUCUUCACUCUUGGUGGAAUGUGGCAAGAGUAGGAGUAGAGGUGUUGUUAAUAAACCUGUUCGGCGAGGGAUAAUGAUAGCGCAGCAAUCUGGGUCCAAGGUUUGGGUGUAUUUCCGCUGUGAGAAAUCGCAGAAUUUCUGCUAUAGUUGUGGUAUGUUGGUCCAUGUCUUGCAUAAAUGUGCUUCAGAGUGUAAGUUUGCUGAUGAUGGAAGUUUUCCUUAUGGGCCGGGUCUGCGUGCUUCUCCUCUGCAGAAGCGCUAUGUUUCGGGGAGCUAUAGGAUGCGAACUGCCUCUGGUUAGAGCGAGUCACAACCUUCAAAGCAGUGUGAUUCGGUGCAUAGAAAGAUUUUGUUCCCAGGCGAGGAAGCAAAAACUAGUGCUUGCAAGACCUGUGGUUCUAAAGAUUUUCAUUUGGGGGAUCAAUGUUAUAAUAAUGGGCAACAUGAACCUGGACGGGUGCAGUUAUGGGACGGGAAUAGUGAACAGGUAGUGAACCUUAUUCCUGGAGAUCCUCAUGUUGAGACUCAGCAACCUAGCAAUGUGGACAGGGUGACUGGAACCUUGCAUGAAAUGCAAAAACUUGAACCUGGUGAAGAAAUAUAGCUACCCAAGUUCCCGUGCUGGUUUACCACAAAUUCUGUGCUAUCUUCUAGGGAAUGAAGGGGUUCUUAUAGUCUAGGGCUUUGGAAGCCCAUUCUUUAAUGUGAUUCGCUGCUAUGUUUUCUUGUUUGAUAUAAGCAUGGACAAAGUGUUGGACAGGCUACAAUUGGAUUAUUACUCAGUAGCCUGAUAGUCCAGCAACUCCAUUUAAUUCUUGUAACUUUUAGAUCUUAAAUCACUGGUACAAAAUUAUACCAAAAUUU